rnacentral:lncRNA from 1 species
GUGAUUGAUUGUCCUUAAGUUUCAAUUUCAUAGCCUUGAAACAUUUACAGGCUUAGAUUUUGGUUUGCUUAUGUAGGUACCACGGGCAUUAGGGCCACCUCAGUCUCAUGGACUCCUUGUUUAAUUCAACACUACCUUUGUGUGUGGCUUUCAGAGAAGACCCCUGAAUAUCUGAAUGGAAGAUUCCAACGAGAUCAUUGGCAUAUUAAAGUGGCAGUAUACAGUGGACAUCCAGAAACAAAAGUAAACACUAGCA